rnacentral:rRNA from 1 species
GGGAGUAGCAAUACAACUGGUGGCGACCGGCGCACGGGUGAGUAACGCGUAUGCAACCCAUCUAUCAGAGGGGAAUAACCCGGCGAAAGUCGGACUAAUACCGCAUAAAACAGGGACACCGCAUGGUGAUAUUUGUUAAAGAAAUUCGCUGAUAGAUGGGCAUGCGUUCCAUUAGGUAGUUGGUGAGGUAACGGCUCACCAAGCCGACGAUGGAUAGGGGAACUGAGAGGUUGGUCCCCCACACUGGUACUGAGACACGGACCAGACUCCUACGGGAGGCAGCAGUGAGGAAUAUUGGUCAAUGGGCGAGAGCCUGAACCAGCCAAGUCGCGUGAAGGAAGAAGGAUCUAUGGUUCGUAAACUUCUUUUGCAGGGGAAUAAAGUGCGGGACGUGUCCUGUUUUGUAUGUACCCUGAGAAUAAGGAUCGGCUAACUCCGUGCCAGCAGCCGCGGUAAUACGGAGGAUCCGAGCGUUAUCCGGAUUUAUUGGGUUUAAAGGGUGCGUAGGUGGUUUUAUAAGUCAGCGGUGAAAGUUUGCAGCUUAACUGUAAAAAUGCCGUUGAAACUGUAAGACUUGAGUGUAAAUGAGGUAGGCGGAAUGCGUGGUGUAGCGGUGAAAUGCAUAGAUAUCACGAAGAACUCCGAUUG